AUUGAACGCUGGCGGCAGGCCUAACACAUGCAAGUCGAGCGGACGAAGGGAGCUUGCUCCUGGAUUCAGCGGCGGACGGGUGAGUAAUGCCUAGGAAUCUGCCUGGUAGUGGGGGAUAACGUCCGGAAACGGGCGCUAAUACCGCAUACGUCCUGAGGGAGGAAGAGGGGGAUCUUCGGACCUCACGCUAUCAGAUGAGCCUAGGUCGGAUUAGCUAGUUGGUGGGGUAAAGGCCUACCAAGGCGACGAUCCGUAACUGGUCUGAGAGGAUGAUCAGUCACACUGGAACGGGGACACGGUCCAGAAUCCUACGGGAGGCAGCAGUGGGGAAUAUUGGAGAAUGGGCGCAAGCCUGAUCCAGCCAUGCCGCGUGUGUGAAGAAGGUCUUCGGAUUGUAAAGCAGAUUAAGUUGGGAGGAAGGGCAGUAAGUUAAUACCUUGCUGUUUUGACGGUAACAACAGAAUAAGCACCGGCUAACUUCGUG
rnacentral:rRNA from 1 species